rnacentral:rRNA from 1 species
AUCAGCAGCCAUAUCACUCUGCAACCCACAACUGGCAACACAUUGAAGAUAAGCAGGUGUGAGUCUGGUCUCCACCUGGAUGGGAGACCUCCUGGGAAUACUAAGGUUGCUGCUGGAA